UACGGAGGAUGCAAGCGUUAUCCGGAAUCAUUGGGCGUAAAGCGCGCGUAGGCGGCCCGGUAAGUCCGUUGUAAAAGUCGAAGGCUCAACCUUCGAAAGCCGAUGGAUACUGCCGGGCUAGAGUACGGAAGAGGCGAGUAGAAUUCCUGGUAUAGCGGUGGAAUGCGCAGAUAUCAGGAGGAAUACCCAAAGCGAAGGCAGCUCGCUGGGACGUUACUGACGCUGAGGCGCGAAAGCGUGGGGAGCGAACAGG
rnacentral:rRNA from 1 species